rnacentral:misc_RNA from 1 species
GAUGAAGAACGUAGCGAAAUGCGAUAAGUAAUGUGAAUUGCAGAAUUCAGUGAAUCAUCGAGUCUUUGAACGCACAUUGCGCCCCCUGGUAUUCCGGGGGGCAUGCCUGUCCGAGCGUCAUUGCUGCCCUCAAGCACGGCUUGUGUGUUGGGCCCCCGUCCCCGGUUUCCCCCGGGGACGGGCCCGAAAGGCAGCGGCGGCACCGCGUCCGGUCCUCGAGCGUAUGGGGCUUUGUCACCCGCUCUGUAGGCCCGGCCGGCGCCAGCCGACACCCAACUUUAUUUCUAAGGUUGACCUCGGAUCAGGUAGGGAUACCCGCUGAACUUAAGCAUAUCAAGAAGCGGAGGA